CCUACGGGUGGCAGCAGUGAGGAAUAUUGGUCAAUGGCCGGAAGGCUGAACCAGCCAAGCCGCGUGAGGGAGGAAGGCGCAGAGCGUCGCAGACCUCUUUUGCCGGGGGACAAAAGGCCGGACUCGUCCGGUCCUGAGGGUACCCGGAGAAAAAGCAUCGGCUAACUCCGUGCCAGCAGCCGCGGUAAUACGGAGGAUGCGAGCGUUAUCCGGAAUUACUGGGUGUAAAGGGAGCGUAGGCGGGGAUGCAAGUUGGGUGUCAAAACUACCGGCUCAACUGGUAGUCGCACUCAAAACUGCAGCUCUUGAGUGAAGUAGAGGCAGGCGGAAUUCCUAGUGUAGCGGUGAAAUGCGUAGAUAUUAGGAGGAACACCAGUGGCGAAGGCGGCCUGCUGGGCUUUUACUGACGCUGAGGCUCGAAAGUGUGGGGAGCAAACAGGAUUAGAUACCCGAGUAGUC
rnacentral:rRNA from 1 species